rnacentral:rRNA from 1 species
UACGUAGGGGGCAAGCGUUGUCCGGAUUUAUUGGGCGUAAAGAGCGUGUAGGCGGUCUGGUAGGUCCGUUGUGAAAACUCGAGGCUCAACCUCGAGACGCCGAUGGAAACCCUCAGACUAGAGUCCGGAAGAGGAGAGUGGAAUUCCUGGUGUAGCGGUGAAAUGCGCAGAUAUCAGGAAGAACACCCGUGGCUAAGGCGGCUCUCUGGUACGGGACUGACGCUGAGACGCGAAAGCGUGGGGAGCGAACAGG